AUCCUCCUGCCUCAGCCUCCCAAGUGCUGGGAUUACAAGUGUGUGCCACCACGCUGAGCACAUUUUCAUUCAUAAUAGAUGCAAGCAAUAGAUCUAGAUUUACAAAGUCUCAGCCCAUAAGUUAGUGGCUGUUUAAUGAGGAGUUCUGAAGGACACGGAAACAAAUGCGCUGGGCAGUGUCUGCUCGGCCCCAUCAAGAGUGAUAAGGCAGCUGGGAUAUAGCCAUGAACUCAACUCAGGAAGAAAAUUACAGGGAAUUUUUUGCAUGAUUCAGACUGUUUUUCUUUUUCUUUUUCUUUUUUUUUCUUUCAGCAAUUGGCCUGGCUUGAACAUUUUUUGGAACCAGAGCUUGAAAAACGAGACACCAAGGAGAGAUUGCAACUCAUCAGGAAGAAACAAAGCAUCCUUCACCGCUAUGUUAAGUGUCUUAGGGCUGCCCUAAUAAAUGACCACCAAGGGAGCAGUUGAAAACAAUAGAUUUGUUCUUCAAUACCGGAAAUGGAAAAAUUUGUGUAUGCUAUGCAAGUGCUAUUCCAUGGAGCUACAUUCCCAGGGUACAACAAUAGAAAUAUAAUCUCUUAGUUCUGGAGGCCGGAAGUAAAAUAUCAAGGUGUUGCGGGGAGCCAUGACCCCUCCAAAGGUUCC
rnacentral:lncRNA from 1 species